rnacentral:lncRNA from 1 species
GAAUAAAAUGCUGUUUAUUUGGCCAGUAUCUCUAUCUGUAUGGACUUACAGACAGAGUAUCUGGUAUGCUCAGAUUGUGUGGCUUUUAUAGCAGCUGUGCAUUUCAGUACAUUCUUCUACUGCCUUUUGCUUUCCCAUAUGAACCUACUCUGGUGAACAUUGGUGUUUACAUGGAAGCACAUGCAUCCUAAAAAUAGGGACGUGUACCUUGUGGAAGUAAUAACCAUCUAAAUAAAAUUAUCCAUGACCAUUUGAUGCUAUUAGGAACAAAACAUGUCUUUCCCUCGUAACAGAGAACAGACUAUUUAUAAGCAGUUUAUUGCUUAUAAUCUCUUUCAUCUCUGUACACAUUUAUGAGGAUAUUAGCUUUUGGGGGGUACCGUGUAUUUUUUAACGUCUUCUUUUGCAUAGUCACGCUUAUGUGCCGCUUGAACUUGUAAACUCAGCUAACUUAUCGAUCUAGCGUACUUUGCUAGGCUCUUUUGUAAGCAUUUCAGUUCUGGCAUCAGAACAAAACAAAAAAGUAUGUAAUCCUAGAGAUGUAAUGGAAAAAGAAAGACGGUAUUAUGGCAAACAAGCCCUUUGGAAUGCUUGUUACAUAAAUAAAUAUCCAUAAAAAACACAGUUUCAAGUUCCCAUGCCAAAGCCUCAUUCCCCUGUGGCCUUGCUCUGAUCAUCAUCCUCAUCACCUCUGCAGCAUAGAGAGUAGAGAGCGAAAUCGCGGAUAACCAGUGGAGAAGUGGUUACUGGUGGGAAGUCCCGACCAAGCAGCCGUAAAAAUGAAUCCUAUGAGUCUGAAUCCAGGCAUCUCUAUCUAGUGUUUUUAAGCACAAAACUCAAGGAUGGAGAGUCUGGUCAAACUUCCUUCCGCAGACAUAAUGUGGAUCUAGAUUUAGAGGAACCCUCUGACCUUAGUGGUAUAAUUCAGCUUUGAUCCUUUGUGUUUAAUGGGAGUACCAAGUUGGGAAGCUUUGAACAAACAAUUGAAUAUUUAAGUAAGCACUAAGUUACAAAAGGCACAUUUGGGCAAACUUCUCCAAUCCUGGGAAUUUUUUGUCUCUUCACUGUACUCAUUUGCCAUCUGAUUGGCUUCCUUAGAGCUUAUAAGAGCACCAAUGAGAAAGGCAUUUUAAGUAAUGUUUAAUCUAAAUAUCUGUGUGUUUACAAACUUCGCAAUUUGAGUGUUGCCAUGAUUGAUGAUCAUUUCAACACUUCCCCAGUCCUGACCACUGAAUAGUUUUACUUUUAUUCCAUGGCAUCUUGAUCAGACCAAUGACUGAUCCACUAAAUUUAUUUUCCUGUCUUCCAAAGACUUCAUCUUGAUCUUACUUGGUUCUUGAAGUGUAACAUGCCAUUUGAAUGGAGGAUAAACCAGCCUCCUCUUAUCAUACCAACAGCCAGAGACAAAACAGAGUUGACUCCGGUUCAAUGUAUGUUUCUUUAUUUAUUGCUGAAGACAAAAUAUGUCUAGUCCUGUGCAAAAUAAGGCAUCAAAUUUUAUCCUGCCCUGGCCCUAGUGUGACAUUUUACCUUGUUCUCUAAGGAUGCAAUGUUGUGGCAAGAUACAGGGAAUAAGAGUCUCCAAAAUAUUAUGCUUCAUUUUAGUUUUUAUAGUAGCUUUUCUUCUCUAUGUAAGCCUAUGACAUUUGCAGUUACUUUUCUCAUAUUUUCCUUCUUAUUCAGUAGUUUAAUUCUAUGAUCUGUGAUAUAUUUCCAAAGAUGGUCUCAUAAGAUCUCCAUCUGACCUCUUCUUUGGUGAUAUGACUUUACGGCUUUCAUAUUAAUGAGAAGAAUCUAAAUCCUUUCUCCUUGAAAGUGGGCUGGACUCAGAGAUUCACUUUAAAUUCUGUUUAAGGAAAAAAUAUCAACAAAAUAUACGCCACCUAAGAUUACAAUGGACAAUAGGAUAUGGUGGAAGUAAGACUGCAUGAUUCUUUUUUUUUUUUUGGUCUUUUUAGGGUUGCAGCUGUGGCAUAUGGAAGGUCCCAGGCUAGGGGUCCAAUUGGAGCUAUAGCUGCCAGCCUAUAGCCACAGCAAUGCAGGAUCCAAGUCAUGUCUGUGACCUACCCCACGGGUCUUGGCAAUGCCAGAUCCUUAAUCCACUGAUGAGGCCAGGGGUCAAACCUGUGUUCUCAUGGAUACCAGUUGGGUUCGUUACUAUUGAGCCAUGACAGGAAGUUCAAGACUGCAUGUCUCUUAAGACUGGGUCAGAAAAGUCUUAGACCUUCCAUCUGGGUCUCUUGAAAUGUUUCCUCUCCUGAUGGUUCAUCUUGAAACCUAGCUUCUCUGUUUCAAGAAGGCUCAGCUACAUGGAGAGAACAAGUAUGGGUAGCUUAGUAAACAAUCUCAACUGAGGCCAGCCUUCUCAUCACCCCCGCAGAGUGUCAGACAUUUAAUUGAAGUGGCCUUUAAGUGCUUCCUCUGGCUGGCCAUUUGAGUCACUCCUUGUCCAUUGAUUAUUCUUGGCUGUGGCCCAUACAUCAAGAAAAGUGAAGGGCCAUCAUGUCUGUGCCCUUCCUGAAUUCAUGACCACAAACUCCAUGAGCAUAUUAAAUGAUUGUUGCUUUAUGCCACAAGGUUUUAUAAGUGGGUUUAAUGCAGCAAUAGAUAAUCAUAACAGAAUUUGAUACCAAGGGCAGAGUUUUCCCCGAACAAAAACUUACAAUGUUUUGUUGACUAGGGUAUUAGGGUGCAAAUGGAAAAUGAAAGGGUUUUGAGGUUUCUGCUACAAAAAUUUGGAAGGAUGUCAAAGAAUCUAUUCAUGAAUAAAAGCUGGGAGGUCAGUAAAGUAAUUAUUAUGGGAAAUUGGAAAAAAGUUUGACAACACAGUUGAGUAUUUAAAUUAUCAUGAUGGUGAUACACAAAAGAGAAAACAAUCUUAACUGGAGUUCCAUUAUGGCUCAGAAGGUUAAGGAUUUACCAUUAUCUUUGUGAGGAUGUGGGUUCGAUCCCUGUCCUCAUUUUGUGGUGUAAGGAUCCAGUGUUGUUGCAAGCUGCAGGGUAGGUUGCAGAUGAGGUGUGGAUCUGGUGUUGCCUUGGCUGUGGCAUUGCCAUGUAGCUGCAGCUCCGAUUCAUCCUUUGGCCUGGAACUUCUAUAUGCCACAGGUGUGGCUGUACUAAGAAAAAAAAGAAAAGAAAAGAAGCCUAGUAAACUGGUGGAUUUCCUAAUGAAAUUUUGAGGCAGAAUAUUCAAUGUACUCUUUGACGACAAAACAAUGCACAACCUAAGAGUUGUAAGCUAUUUUUUUUUUUUUUUAGUGGUAAAAACUGAGGACUUAAGCCCGGGAAGCAGCAUCUCAAAUAACCUUGAGAAAAGUGCUCCACAAUGGUGAGGGGAAACUAGAAUAAAUAGGAGUUUUGCAAUAACGGGCAGAUAGUAGGAACAAGAGAUGACUAUUAACAUUGGAAAACUAGAUAUCUCAAAUUAAGGAAUUUGGUGCUUUCCUUUUUUGGGAAGAUGCAAAGUUCUGGGUUUACUGAAAUCAUUCCUUUGAUAUGCACCUCAGCUAUUUGGGACUUUUAUCCUGUAUUUUCACAUCCCUCAGGCUCUCCUUCGGGAGUGGCUGUAGUCUGAUGGAUGCUAGAAGGCAAGUAUUCUUUGUUUCCUCCCUGAGUUCCCUCAGGGCUCACUGGCUCACCCUUAGAUGUGGCUGCACUCACUGAUGACUGUGACAUCCUUCGUUUCCAGAUAUGGCAGGCAAUAUUUUAUCUCUCAGUACCACUUUGCUUCUCUUAGGCGUGCAUCAUGAGAUGUAGAAAAAGAGAUAAGCUAAAAAUGGAUGUAUUUCAUUUUCAAGCAAAAAUUUAGUAUAACUGUAAAGAAGCUCGUGAAUUUCUGGGUUGGAACGUUUAAUUGGUUUUCAUGUCUAGCCUCUCUACAUGGCAAAAAAGUCUCAAAGUGAUAAAAGACUUCAUGGCAAAGGUCAAAUUCAGAACACUGUGGGGAAAACAGCCUUGGAGUAAAGCUGAAGCCAAUGGUGUGACUAUAAACCUUUUGAAAACUUUAAAAAAGACUUAAGAUAGUGCCUCAUAGGUCCUUUCAGAUGGGAAAGGCCUCAUAAUGCAUCUAAAGUAUCUACCUUGCAAACACUCUCUGUUAAACAAUAGGGAUUUAAAAAAUCUAAGGGAAUUAUCCCACUGCAGCUGCAAGAGGGGCACUGGAUAAAGAAAGUCUACCUCAAAGAGAUUUGUGGAUAUUACAUUUUUUUUUUUUGAAUGGCUUGAACAACAAGAAAUGAUUCAUAGAAACUCCACAAAGUUUUAAAGAAAUUAUAUGGCAGAAACACCAUUAAUGUGGACUGAAAGGGAUAGAGACCAUGCCGAAUAAGAAAUAGUUGACACCUGUACUUCCAGAGGCAGGAAAUAGGAUUAAAAAAAAAUAUCCCCUCAAAGACAGGCUAUUGUGCAAGGCAGAGGCAGGAUGACCCAGAGUCUGAAACCAAGAUCCCACAGGCCAGAGGUAAGAGACACAGGAAUAGAGACAGAACAAUGUGCGUUUUUGUUGGGGAAGUUUCCACGUGGCAGGUGGGGAAGGCUCCCUUCUAAGUGGUUUUGAAAAACCAAAGCCUGCAGAAGGAACUUGUUUACUGGCUGGGAGGAUGCACCAUUUCAGGAUCUGGAUCUUACACUUUUCCGGAGGCUCAUAAACAACUUUGUGGCCUCCUAGAGAAUAGUUUCACUUUUCAGGGGCAGACAUAACAUUAGCCAACCCCAUUCCUUUGAUUCAUAAAACCAGAGUUCUCAUUCAUCAGUUUUUAAAUGAGAAAUCACUGUCACAAGAAUUGGAAUUCUUAAAGACUAUAAUGAUCAGAAAAGUCUCUCUCUUUUGGCAAUAUCUUCCUCGCAGUAAUAUACGGCAUGAUUUGAAGUCUCCUGAGCAAGCUGAAAUCAGAAAAAAAAAAACAACAAAAAACGUAUAUGUGUUGGAA